rnacentral:lncRNA from 10 species
CAUCAGUUGGCAUUUGAUGCAAGACUUGGGUGAUAGGAGUCAGAAAGAUUGGGGAAGAGCUUUCUGGGCAGAGAAAGUAGUGAUGUAAGAUUUCACAGAGGAAUGAAUGAAUGACAUGAAUGAAUGAGCAGCAUGGGUAGAGUGGAUGCAUGCCCAUGGGGGUUUCCCAUGUAGUAAGCUCCAGUCCCUUGGCUAUCCCCCACCUCAAUCCAUGAUGGCCCCCUCCCUACCUAUCCAGUUGCCCUCUCAUUCACUGUGCCAGUCUUCUCUGAAUCCUUCGAAGGCACCAAGUUAUUCUCUGCUUAGCACCUUCCCACAGCAGAUCCUCUGCGUGCUUCCCCGACUCUGCCUGAGGGGCUCCUUCUCAUCUUUCAGGUCUCAGCUUAAAUGUCAGCCCUUACAGGGCCCUCUGCUCAUCCAUGUUCAAGCAGCUCAAAA